AUGGAUGAGGUCACAAGGGAUAUACAAGGAGAUAUCCCAUGGUGUAUGCUCUUUGCGGAUGAUGUGGUGCUAGUUGACGAUAGUCGGACGGGGGUAAAUAGGAAGUUAGAGUUAUGGAGACAAACCUUGGAAUCGAAAGGGUUUAGGCUUAGUAGCACUAAAACCGAGUACAUGAUGUGCGGUUUCAGUACUACUAUGUGUGAGGAGGAGGAGGUUAGCCUUGAUGGCCAGGUGGUACCUCGGAAGGACACCUUUCGGUAUUUGGGGUCAAUGUUGCAGGAGGAUGGGGGUAUUGAUGAAGAUGUGAAUCAUCGAAUCAAAGCCGGAUGGAUGAAGUGGAGCCAAGCUUCUGGCAUUCUCUGUGACAAGAGAGUGCCACAAAAGCUAAAAGGCAAGUUCUACAGGACGGCGGUUCGACCCGCAAUGUUGUAUGGC
rnacentral:rRNA from 1 species